CAGCCGCCACGGGAAAACGGAGGGGGCUAGCGUUGUUCGGAAUUACUGGGCGUAAAGCGUACGUAGGCGGCUUUGUAAGUUAGAGGUGAAAGCCUGGUGCUCAACACCAGAACUGCCUUUAAGACUGCAUCGCUUGAACGUCGGAGAGGUGAGUGGAAUUCCGAGUGUAGAGGUGAAAUUCGUAGAUAUUCGGAGGAACACCAGUGGCGAAGGCGGCUCACUGGACCAUUACUGACGCUGAGGUGCGAAAGCGUGGGGAGCAAACAGGAUUAGAUACCCCUGUAGUCCCUGUCUCUUAUAC
rnacentral:rRNA from 1 species